UGCGUCCCGCCAUUUAUGCUAGGGACAAAUUAAUUUCCACCAUCUCCCCUAGAUGGCAGAGCGAAAAUUAUUUUUCUACGAUGUGUGACCACCACCGCUGGAAUUUAAAUUAUUAUUAAUCAAAGUUAAGCUUAAUAGCCCUUAGCACUAAUACUACUGGCACGAUCUGCUGACAAAGAUCUGCGCCCUGUUGGAAGUGCCAAAUGACCUCUAUUAGAACUUCCAUGUGUUUUCGGAGUCAUUGAUCCAUGACGAAGAGGAGUUUUACCUACGAUGAUAACAAAGAUUAGUUUGGAUUCCAUUCUUUGUAUAUAUUUAAAAACAUGAAAUUAAACGAAGCGUUAAUUAA